rnacentral:rRNA from 1 species
GUGGAUUAGUGGCGAACGGGUGAGUAACACGUGAGUAACCUGCCCUUAACUCUGGGAUAAGCCUGGGAAACUGGGUCUAAUACCGGAUAGGAGCGCCKACCGCAUGGUGGGUGUUGGAAAGAUUUAUCGGUUUUGGAUGGACUCGCGGCCUAUCAGCUUGUUGGUGAGGUAAUGGCUCACCAAGGCGACGACGGGUAGCCGGCCUGAGAGGGUGACCGGCCACACUGGGACUGAGACACGGCCCAGACUCCUACGGGAGGCAGCAGUGGGGAAUAUUGCACAAUGGGCGCAAGCCUGAUGCAGCGACGCCGCGUGAGGGAUGACGGCCUUCGGGUUGUAAACCUCUUUCAGUAGGGAAGAAGCGAAAGUGACGGUACCUGCAGAAGAAGCACCGGCUAACUACGUGCCAGCAGCCGCGGUAAUACGUAGGGUGCGAGCGUUAUCCGGAAUUAUUGGGCGUAAAGAGCUCGUAGGCGGUUUGUCGCGUCUGUCGUGAAAGUCCGGGGCUUAACCCCGGAUCUGCGGUGGGUACGGGCAGACUAGAGUGCAGUAGGGGAGACUGGAAUUCCUGGUGUAGCGGUGGAAUGCGCAGAUAUCAGGAGGAACACCGAUGGCGAAGGCAGGUCUCUGGGCUGUAACUGACGCUGAGGAGCGAAAGCAUGGGGAGCGAACAGGAUUAGAUACCCUGGUAGUCCAUGCCGUAAACGUUGGGCACUAGGUGUGGGGACCAUUCCACGGUUUCCGCGCCGCAGCUAACGCAUUAAGUGCCCCGCCUGGG